AUUGAACGCUGGCGGCAUGCCUUACACAUGCAAGUCGAACGGCAGCACGGGUGCUUGCACCUGGUGGCGAGUGGCGAACGGGUGAGUAAUACAUCGGAACGUACCUUAUCGUGGGGGAUAACGCAGCGAAAGCUGUGCUAAUACCGCAUACGCCCUGAGGGGGAAAGCGGGGGAUCGCAAGACCUCGCGCGAUUAGAGCGGCCGAUGCCUGAUUAGCUAGUUGGUGGGGUAAAAGCCCACCAAGGCGACGAUCAGUAGCUGGUCUGAGAGGACGAUCAGCCACACUGGGACUGAGACACGGCCCAGACUCCUACGGGAGGCAGCAGUGGGGAAUUUUGGACAAUGGGGGCAACCCUGAUCCAGCAAUGCCGCGUGAGUGAAGAAGGCCUUCGGGUUGUAAAGCUCUUUUGUCAGGGAAGAAACACCGGCUCUAACACAGUCCGGGAAUGACGGUACCUGAAGAAUAAGCACCGGCUAACUACGUGCCAGCAGCCGCAGUAA
rnacentral:rRNA from 1 species